rnacentral:rRNA from 1 species
UACAGAGGGGGCAAGCGUUGUUCGGAAUUACUGGGCGUAAAGGGCGCGUAGGCGGCCUGUUAAGUCGAACGUGAAAUCCCCGGGCUCAACCCGGGAACUGCGUCCGAUACUGGCAGGCUUGAAUUCGGGAGAGGGAUGUGGAAUUCCAGGUGUAGCGGUGAAAUGCGUAGAUAUCUGGAGGAACACCGGUGGCGAAGGCGGCAUCCUGGGCCGAUAUUGACGCUGAUGCGCGAAAGCCAGGGGAGCAAACGGG